UGCGGCUGGAUCCCCUCCUUUCUGGAGCCGCGAGUAGGUCUUCGGACCGAAAGCGCUUCGGUGUCGCCCGCGCUUUACACCUCGAUCGGUUCAAUGUCCAAUGCUGAAUGUCCAAUGAUCAUUGAACAUUGGUCAUUGGCCAUUGAUUCGCUCUUUGACAACUGACGAGUGAGUGGUGUGUGUGGUGUUCGAGGAAUCACACCGAAGAACUAUGAGAUCAAGCGCGUAAGGGCGCACGGUGGAUGCCUUGGCACAGGGAGGCGAUGAAGGACGCGGUAAGCUGCGAUAAGCCUGGGGGAGCUGCAAACAAGCUGUGAUCCCAGGAUCUCCGAAUGGGGAAACCCGG
rnacentral:misc_RNA from 1 species